CCCUUAGAUGUCCGGGGCUGCACGCGCGCUACACUGACUGGCUCAGCGUGUGCCUACCCUACGCCGGCAGGCGCGGGUAACCCGUUGAACCCCAUUCGUGAUGGGGAUCGGGGAUUGCAAUUAUUCCCCAUGAACGAGGAAUUCCCAGUAAGUGCGGGUCAUAAGCUUGCGUUGAUUAAGUCCCUGCCCUUUGUACACACCGCCCGUCGCUACUACCGAUUGGAUGGUUUAGUGAGGCCCUCGGAUCGGCCCCGCCGGGGUCGGCCCACGGCCCUGGCGGAGCGCUGAGAAGACGGUCGAACUUGACUAUCUAGAGGAAGUAAAAGUCGGAACA
rnacentral:rRNA from 1 species